GGGUAUAGCUCAGUGGUAGAGUGUGCGAUUCAGCAUGCACAAGGUCCUGGGUUCAAUCCCCAGUACCACCA
rnacentral:tRNA from 1 species